GGGCCCGCACAAGCGGUGGAGCAUGUGGUUUAAUUCGAUGAUACGCGAGGAACCUUACCAGGGCUUAAAUGUAAGUUGCAUUAGCUAGAGAUAGCUAUUUCUUCGGACCACUUACAAGGUGCUGCAUGGUUGUCGUCAGCUCGUGCCGUGAGGUGUCAGGUUAAGUCCUAUAACGAGCGCAACCCCCUGUUGUUAGUUGCCAGCGAGUAAUGUCGGGAACUCUAACAAGACUGCCGGUGCAAACCGUGAGGAAGGUGGGAUGACGUCAAAUCAUCACGGCCCUUACGUUCUGGGCUACACACGUGCUACAAUGGCCGGUACAGAAAGCAGCCACUAUGCGAAUAGGAGCUAAUCUUUAAAACCGGUCUC
rnacentral:rRNA from 1 species